GUUAUUAUAUAAAUUGUUCCCUCAAAAACAAAAUGUAACUUUGACUGUUUUUCGUAGCGUCAAAUGUUUCCCAAAAUUUUUCAUAUUUCAUACAAGCGCAUGAUGAUUGUAACCCCACAAAAAUAGUCUCCCAUAAAAGUCCAAAUUUUUACCGCAAAAGUGCUGCCGAGUGAGGUUCAUGGUUGGGGUAGCCUUGCGGGGAGAGGGAAGUAAUGCAAGUCUGGUCGGCAGGCUGCGUGGAUGUGAGGUUCAUUCUUGCAUAAAAUAGACCAAAAGAGGUUAACUUGGUGAUAGCUGCUAGAAAUUGGGAUGCUGGCGCAUGGCAUGCUGGGCGCCCAAAUGAGAUUUGUUGGGGGUUGGAGUGCAGUGCACGGCGUUGAGCGUGCAGAGUGCGCAAAUGAGGUUCACUGGGUGUGCGCAGUGUGCAAGUGGAGUGCUAGGCGCGCAGAGCAUGCAUGCAAGGUUCACUGGAGC
rnacentral:misc_RNA from 1 species